AUUGAACGCUGGCGGCAGGCUUAACACAUGCAAGUCGAGCGAGCGGCGGACGGGUGAGUAAUGUCUGGGAAACUGCCUGAUGGAGGGGGAUAACUACUGGAAACGGUAGCUAAUACCGCAUACCAUCAGAUGUGCCCAGAUGGGAUUAGCUAGUAGGUGGGGUAAUGGCUCACCUAGGCGACGAUCCCUAGCUGGUCUGAGAGGAUGACCGCCCACACGGGAGCUGGGACACGGCCCAGACUCCUACGGGAGGAAGCAGUGGGGAAUAUGCCAAAAGGGGCGCAAGCCGGAUGCAGCAAGGCCGCGUUGAGGAAGAAGGCCUUAGGGGUGGAAAGUACUUUUAGUGGGGAGACGUUUCCCGAAGAAGAAGCACCGGCUAACUCAGUGCCAGAAGCCGCGGUAAUUC
rnacentral:rRNA from 1 species